ensembl:snRNA U6 U6 spliceosomal RNA
GUGCUUGCUUCAGCAGCACAUAUACUAAAAUUGGAAUGCUACAGAGCAGAUUAGCAUGACAUCUGUGCAAGGAUGACACACAAAUUCAUGAAGCAUUCCAUUUUUUU